UACGAGGCAUGCAAGCGUUAUCCGGAAUUAUUGGGCGUAGAGCGUUUGUAGGCGGGCGAGUGUGUUUAAUGUUAAAUCUUAAAGCUCAACUUUGAAAUUGCGUUAAAAACUGCUUGUCUUGAGUAUGGUAGGGGUAAAGGGAAUUCCCAGUGUAGCGGUGAAAUGCGUAGAUAUUGGGAAGAACACUAAACAGCGAAGGCACUUUACUAGGCUAAUACUGACGCUGAGAAACGAAAGGUAAGGUAGCGAAACGGAUUAGAUACCCGUGUAGUCUUACCCGUAAACUAUGGACACUAAACGGUAAAUUUUUAAUUUACUGUUAAAGCUAACGCGUUAAGUGUCCCGCCUGGGGAGUAUGCUUGCAAAAGUGAAACUCAAAGGAAUUGACGGGGGCCCGCACAAGCGGUGGAGCAUGUGGUUUAAUUCGACGGUACACGAAGAACCUUACCAGGAUUUGACAUGCUAGAUAGUUGCUUGAAAGAGUAACGUGCCGUAAGGAAUCUAGACACAGGUGGUGCAUGGCUGUCGUCAGUUCGUGUUGUGAAAUGUUGGGUUAAGUCCCGCAACGAACGCAACCCUUGUCUUUAGUUAUUUUCUAAAGAGACUGCCUGUAAUAAACAGGAGGAAGGUAAGGAUGAGGUCAAGUCAUCAUGCCCCUUAUGUCCUGGGCUACACACGUGCUACAAUGGGAAAGACAAUGAGCUGCAAAUCUGUAAAUUUAAGCAAAUCUCUUAAACUUUCUCGUAGUUCGGAUUGUGGGCUGCAACUCGCCCACAUGAAGUUGGAAUCGCUAGUAAUCGCCAGUCAGCUAUAUGGCGGUGAAUCCGUUCCCGGGCCU
rnacentral:rRNA from 1 species